GGGUUGUGAGGUUAAGCGACUAAGCGUACACGGUGGAUGCCCUGGCAGUCAGAGGCGAUGAAGGACGUGCUAAUCUGCGAAAAGCGUCGGUAAGGUGAUAUGAACCGUUAUAACCGGCGAUGUCCGAAUGGGGAAACCCAGUGCAAUUCGUUGCACUAUCGUUAACUGAAUACAUAGGUUAACGAGGCGAACCGGGGGAACUGAAACAUCUAAGUACCCCGAGGAAAAGAAAUCAACCGAGAUUCCCCCAGUAGCGGCGAGCGAACGGGGAGCAGCCCAGAGUCUGAAUCAGCUUGUGUGUUAGUGGAACGGUCUGGAAAGUCCGACGGUACAGGGUGAUAGUCCCGUACACCAAAAUGCACAGGUUGUGAACUCGAAGAGUAGGGCGGGACACGUGGUAUCCUGUCUGAAUAUGGGGGGACCAUCCUCCAAGGCUAAAUACUCCUGACUGACCGAUAGUGAACCAGUACCGUGAGGGAAAGGCGAAAAGAACCCCGGCGAGGGGAGUGAAAAAGAACCUGAAACCGUGUACGUACAAGCAGUGGGAGCACCUUCGGGUGUGACUGCGUACCUUUUGUAUAAUGGGUCAGCGACUUAUAUUCUGUAGCAAGGUUAACCGUAUAGGGGAGCCGCAGGGAAACCGAGUCUUAACUGGGCGUUAAGUUGCAGGGUAUAGACCCGAAACCCGGUGAUCUAGCCAUGGGCAGGUUGAAGGUUGGGUAACACUAACUGGAGGACCGAACCGACUAAUGUUGAAAAAUUAGCGGAUGACUUGUGGCUGGGGGUGAAAGGCCAAUCAAACCGGGAGAUAGCUGGUUCUCCCCGAAAGCUAUUUAGGUAGCGCCUCGUGAACUCAUCUUCGGGGGUAGAGCACUGUUUCGGCUAGGGGGUCAUCCCGACUUACCAACCCGAUGCAAACUACGAAUACCGAAGAAUGUUAUCACGGGAGACACACGGCGGGUGCUAACGUCCGUCGUGAAGAGGGAAACAACCCAGACCGCCAGCUAAGGUCCCAAAGUCAUGGUUAAGUGGGAAACGAUGUGGGAAGGCACAGACAGCCAGGAUGUUGGCUUAGAAGCAGCCAUCAUUUAAAGAAAGCGUAAUAGCUCACUGGUCGAGUCGGCCUGCGCGGAAGAUGUAACGGGGCUAAACCAUGCACCGAAGCUGCGGCAGCGACACUAUGUGUUGUUGGGUAGGGGAGCGUUCUGUAAGCCUGCGAAGGUGUGCUGUGAGGCAUGCUGGAGGUAUCAGAAGUGCGAAUGCUGACAUAAGUAACGAUAAAGCGGGUGAAAAGCCCGCUCGCCGGAAGACCAAGGGUUCCUGUCCAACGUUAAUCGGGGCAGGGUGAGUCGACCCCUAAGGCGAGGCCGAAAGGCGUAGUCGAUGGGAAACAGGUUAAUAUUCCUGUACUUGGUGUUACUGCGAAGGGGGGACGGAGAAGGCUAUGUUAGCCGGGCGACGGUUGUCCCGGUUUAAGCAUGUAGGCUGGUUGUCCAGGCAAAUCCGGAUAAUCAAGGCUGAGGUGUGAUGACGAGGCACUACGGUGCUGAAGUAACAAAUGCCCUGCUUCCAGGAAAAGCCUCUAAGCAUCAGGUAACAUUAAAUCGUACCCCAAACCGACACAGGUGGUCAGGUAGAGAAUACCAAGGCGCUUGAGAGAACUCGGGUGAAGGAACUAGGCAAAAUGGUGCCGUAACUUCGGGAGAAGGCACGCUGGUGUGUAGGUGAAGUCCCUGCGGAUGGAGCUGAGACCAGUCGAAGAUACCAGCUGGCUGCAACUGUUUAUUAAAAACACAGCACUGUGCAAACACGAAAGUGGACGUAUACGGUGUGACGCCUGCCCGGUGCCGGAAGGUUAAUUGAUGGGGUUAUCCGUAAGGAGAAGCUCUUGAUCGAAGCCCCGGUAAACGGCGGCCGUAACUAUAACGGUCCUAAGGUAGCGAAAUUCCUUGUCGGGUAAGUUCCGACCUGCACGAAUGGCGUAAUGAUGGCCAGGCUGUCUCCACCCGAGACUCAGUGAAAUUGAACUCGCUGUGAAGAUGCAGUGUACCCGCGGCAAGACGGAAAGACCCCGUGAACCUUUACUAUAGCUUGACACUGAACAUUGAGCCUUGAUGUGUAGGAUAGGUGGGAGGCUUUGAAGCGUGGACGCCAGUCUGCGUGGAGCCAACCUUGAAAUACCACCCUUUAAUGUUUGAUGUUCUAACGUUGGCCCCUGACCGGGGUUGCGGACAGUGUCUGGUGGGUAGUUUGACUGGGGCGGUCUCCUCCCAAAGCGUAACGGAGGAGCACGAAGGUUAGCUAAUCCUGGUCGGACAUCAGGAGGUUAGUGCAAUGGCAUAAGCUAGCUUGACUGCGAGCGUGACGGCGCGAGCAGGUGCGAAAGCAGGUCAUAGUGAUCCGGUGGUUCUGAAUGGAAGGGCCAUCGCUCAACGGAUAAAAGGUACUCCGGGGAUAACAGGCUGAUACCGCCCAAGAGUUCAUAUCGACGGCGGUGUUUGGCACCUCGAUGUCGGCUCAUCACAUCCUGGGGCUGAAGUAGGUCCCAAGGGUAUGGCUGUUCGCCAUUUAAAGUGGUACGCGAGCUGGGUUUAGAACGUCGUGAGACAGUUCGGUCCCUAUCUGCCGUGGGCGCUGGAGAAUUGAGGGGGGCUGCUCCUAGUACGAGAGGACCGGAGUGGACGCAUCACUGGUGUUCGGGUUGUCAUGCCAAUGGCACUGCCCGGUAGCUAAAUGCGGAAGAGAUAAGUGCUGAAAGCAUCUAAGCACGAAACUUGCCCCGAGAUGAGUUCUCCCUGAGACUUUAAGUCUCCUGAAGGAACGUU
rnacentral:rRNA from 1 species